rnacentral:rRNA from 1 species
UACGAAGGGUGCAAACGUUGCUCGGAAUUAUUGGGCGUAAAGGGCUCGUAGGCGGCCAACUAAGUCAGACGUGAAAUCCCUCGGCUUAACCGGGGAACUGCGUCUGAUACUGGAUGGCUAGAGGUUGGGAGAGGGAUGCGGAAUUCCAGGUGUAGCGGUGAAAUGCGUAGAUAUCUGGAGGAACACCGGUGGCGAAGGCGGCAUCCUGGACCAAUUCUGACGCUGAGGAGCGAAAGCCAGGGGAGCAAACGGG